GAUCCACUUGCACUCCAUUCAAACAGCGCGAGUCAGCGAUGGCCCUGGCGACGGCGGGUCCUGAACGUGCAAGCGACGGGGAGCACUGGGGUCACGCUGGGCCUUUCGCCAGCAGCAUCAGGCCCUUCUCGAAGGCAGCGAGCCCCCCGCGCCCGUGCACACGUGUAACUCUUAAGUGCAUUUGUUCAGCCACAGAUUGGAUUUUCAUGUGCGUGUGACCUACCAGGGGAGCCUAUGUCCCAUGUUGACAGUUGGCUGCAAGAAAGGCUGAGGAAUUCUCUCUGAUUUGAGGAAAGCAGCAAGAACCAAGGACAACCAAAAAUCUAUCACGAGGACAAGGACUGCUGACUCCCUGUCAGCAGGUGAACCACCCUUUGCACAGCAGCCAGGGCCCAGCUGAAACCACAGGGGAAGUGAUGAGAUGAGCAAGAGCGCUGCUUCCACUCUGAGACUGACAACCUGCGCCAGGGUGACGGAGACAGACACUGAGGAUACUCAACA